ensembl:rRNA 5S_rRNA 5S ribosomal RNA
AUCUAGGGCUGAACGUGCCCACUUUCCUCUGAUCUCGGAAGCUAAGCAGGCCUUGUUAGUACUUGGAUGGGAGACCGCCUGGGAAUACGGGUGCUGUAGGCU